rnacentral:rRNA from 1 species
AUUGAACGCUGGCGGCAGGCCUAACACAUGCAAGUCGAACGAGAGGCGGACGGGUGAGUAAUGUCUGGGAAACUGCCUGAUGGAGGGGGAUAACUACUGGAAACGGUAGCUAAUACCGCAUACCAUCGGAUGUGCCCAGAUGGGAUUAGCUAGUAGGGGGGGUAAUGGCUCACCUAGGCGCCGAACCCUAGCUGGUCUGAGAGGAUGACCGGCCACACUGGAGCUGAGACACGGUCCAGACUCCUACGGGAGGCAGCGGUGGGGAAUAUUGCACAAUGGGCGCAAGCCUGAUGCAGCCAUGCCGCGUGUAUGAAGAAGGCCUUCGGGUUGUAAAGUACUUUCAGCGAGGAGGCGUUACCCGCAGAAGAAGCACCGGCUAACUCCGUGCCAGCCGCCGCGGUAAUUC